UUUCGGGAAAAAUUGCGAAGGAAAUUCUCCCCAUCCUUCUCCAAGAAGGAGGCAACCCAAAGGUCCUUGUGGAGGAGCGUGGCUUGGUACAGAUAUCUGACACAGGUGCGAUUGAAGCCAUGAUUGAUGAAGUUUUGGCUGCAAACCCCAAGCAGUUGGAG
rnacentral:ribozyme from 1 species